rnacentral:rRNA from 1 species
ACUCCUACGGGAGGCAGCAGUCGAGAAUAAUUCACAAUGGACGAAAGUCUGAUGGUGCAACGCCGCGUGGAGGAUGACGGUCUUCGGAUUGUAAACUCCUGUCAUCGGGGAGUAAGACCUGGGUCUUAAUAGGACACAGGGUUGAUAGUACCCGAAGAGGAAGGGACGGCUAACUUCGUGCCAGCAGCCGCGGUAAUACGAAGGUCCCGAGCGUUGUUCGGAAUCACUGGGCGUAAAGGGAGCGUAGGCGGUUUGGUAAGUCAGAUGUGAAAUCCCGGGGCUCAACCCGGAACUGCAUCCGAUACUGCCGGACUUGAGUAAUGGAGGGGUAGCUGGAAUUCUCGGUGUAGCAGUGAAAUGCGUGGAUAUCGAGAGGAACACUCGUGGCGAAGGCGAGCUACUGGACAUUUACUGACGCUGAGGCUCGAAGGCCAGGGUAGCGAAAGGGAUUAGAUACCCUGGUAGGCUCU